UACGUAGGAAGCGAGCGUUAUCCGGAUUUAUUGGGCGUAAAGCGUGUGUAGGCGGUUUACUAAGUCUGAGAUUAAAGGCUAUGGCUUAACCAUAGUUUGUUUCAGAAACUGGUAGACUAGAGUGCAGUAGAGGCAAAUGGAAUUCAUAGUGUAGCGGUGGAAUGCGUAGAUAUUAUGAGGAACAUCAGUGGCGAAGGCGAUUUGCUGGGCUGUUACUGACGCUGAGACACGAAAGCGUGGGGAGCAAAUAGGAUUAGAUACCCUAGUAGUCCACGCUGUAAACGAUGAGCACUAAGUGUCGGGAAACCGGUGCUGAAGUUAACACAUUAAGUGCUCCGCCUGAGUAGUACGGUCGCAAGACUGAA
rnacentral:rRNA from 1 species